AAGGAAGAGGUGGGGAGGACCAGCUUGUGGAGGAGAGGGGAACCGAGAAAUGGAAAGCACCAGCUGGGACAUCCAGGAACUCCUCAUUCACCCCCACUGUCCCAUCAGCACCUCCCUGGCUCUGGUCCAGGUGGUUGGGGCAAGCCGGGAAGUAGGAGAUGAAGAAAAGUUUCCAGAGCUCAGCCUCCUUCAAAGACUUGCAGCAGAGACUCGGCUCUUGCCACUGCUCAAGCCAAUCAACUUUGCAGGAAUGUUCUAGAGCCAAACCCACACAGCACUGGGUACCCUGAGACUGUCAAAAACAAAUAAACAAAAACAAGAAUCAAGUCCCAGAAAAGACACAAGAAGCCAGGGUAGGGGGCACCCUGGGAGAAACUUGUGUGGCCCAAAAAGAGUGGUCCCUCUGUGCUUCGGGACAUGUGAUGGGUCAUCAUGACUGUCUCUUAAACAUGGUGCAUCUGGCAUCAAUGACUCAACUUGGAGAGGUUUCCAUCAGAUAUGUGGAGAGGGAAGACCCAGCCUAAAUCUGGGCCACCUUCAAGUCAGGAAGGACAUAGGAGAAAAGGCUUUUGCUCACUGGCAGGUUCAUUCAUCCCUCCCUGCUGUUGGAACCUUCUUUGUGAUUCCAGUGUCAACUUAAGACCAGCAGCCUCCAAGGACUCCAGAUGGAUUCAGGUGAGACAUCUGGCCUAGAGGAAUAAGCAACAACUGGAUGUUUGGUCCCUCUGGUGUGAGAUGGCCAUUGUUGGGAAACUCAGACCAUGGACUGAGCAUUGUAACACCCUUCUGAGUGUAGUUCUAUUGUCACUUCUGCCACCAUGGCAUGUCAAGCAAGAACAUUAUCUCCAGAAGGUUCCUGGCAGUAUAUGGGUGACUCAACCUUUGAUUAAAGCACAGAAGAGAACUGG